AACGAACGCUGGCGGCAGGCUUAACACAUGCAAGUCGAACGCCCCGCAAGGGGAGUGGAAGACGGGUGAGUAACGCGUGGGAAUCUACCCAACUCUACGGAAUAACUCAGGGAAACUUGUGCUAAUACCGUAUACGCCCUUCGGGGGAAAGAUUUAUCGGAGUUGGAUGAGCCCGCGUUGGAUUAGCUAGUUGGUGGGGUAAAGGCCUACCAAAGCGACGAUCCAUAGCUGGUCUGAAAGGAUGAUCAGCCACAUUGGGACUGAGACACAGCCCAAACUCCUACGGGAGGCAGCAGUGGGGAAUAUUGGACAAUGGGCGCAAGCCUGAUCCAGCCAUGCCGAGUGAUUGAUGAAGGCCCUAGGGUUGUAAAGCUCUUUCACCAGUGAAGAUAAUGACGGUAACCGGAGAAGAAGCCCCGGCUAACUUCGUGCCAGCCGCCGCAGUAAAAC
rnacentral:rRNA from 1 species